GAUGAAGAACGUAGCGAAAUGCGAUAAGUAAUGUGAAUUGCAGAAUUCAGUGAAUCAUCGAAUCUUUGAACGCACCUUGCGCCUUUUGGUAUUCCGAAAGGCACACCUGUUUGAGCGUCAUGAAUACCUCAAUCUCCAUCUUUUCUUCGGAUUGAUGGGUGACUCGGAUGUUGAGCCCUGCUGGUAUGCUAUAUCAGCUGGCUUUAAACUUAUUAGCCGGCUCUGUACUGGAUCGGUUUGACUCGACGUGAUAAUAUUAUCGUUGAGGAUGCAUGUCUCAUGCAGCCGGAAAGUAUCAAAGCAGCUUCUAGCUUGCCUUUAGUGCACUUUUACAUUUUAGACCUCAGAUCAGGUGGGACUACCCGCUGAACUUAAGCAUAUCAAUAAGCGGAGGA
rnacentral:misc_RNA from 1 species